rnacentral:rRNA from 1 species
GACGAACGCUGGCGGCAUGCCUUACACAUGCAAGUCGAACGGUAACAGGUCUUCGGAUGCUGACGAGUGGCGAACGGGUGAGUAAUACAUCGGAACGUGCCUAGUAGUGGGGGAUAACUACUCGAAAGAGUGGCUAAUACCGCAUGAGAUCUAAGGAUGAAAGCAGGGGAUCGCAAGACCUUGUGCUACUAGAGCGGCCGAUGGCAGAUUGGGUAGUUGGUGGGAUAAAAGCUUACCAAGCCGACGAUCUGUAGCUGGUCUGAGAGGACGAUCAGCCACACUGGGACUGAGACACGGCCCAGACUCCUACGGGAGGCAGCAGUGGGGAAUUUUGGACAAUGGGCGCAAGCCUGAUCCAGCAAUGCCGCGUGCAGGAUGAAGGCCUUCGGGUUGUAAACUGCUUUUGUACGGAACGAAAAGCCCUGGGUUAAUACCCUGGGGUCAUGACGGUACCGUAAGAAUAAGCACCGGCUAACUACGUGCCAGCCGCCGCCGUAACAC